UUUUUGUCAGCACAUUUUAGCCUGCACAUUACCUGCCGCCUCUGCGUCCUGGAGUCGCGACAAACGCAGCCGUGACUCGAAACGCUUAUCCAGAGGUGACCCAUGGAUGAGUGAAUGCACCGCUGGGCCAAGAUGCUCGGCUCCAUCAUAAGUGUCACUAAAGUUGGGAUGAGUGUCUUCUAAGGAGUGAUGAGACGAGCCUCAUAAAGAUGACGGAGAGCUGGACGUGUCGCCAGCCCCUGCCAGGAAACCCCAGUGAUUAACGAGAGCCGGGACACCUCCGCUAAUAAGACUCAUCGCUUUAAUUGGCUCCAUGCUAUCCAGAUCCUCGCCAAAAUGUCACGGCUCCUUCAUUUGCCCAGGUGGCCCCCUGCAUGCCCUUUCCUAGCCGCUCAAAGGCUGCGACCGUCAUCAAGGGCAAAGAUGGAAUCUUUGAAGAAGUGAGAGGAUCUGUUCUUAUAAAAUCAUUAAGCAGCGUAGUGGUCUCAUUAUUGAGACUUCCGUCUUCCAAUAAGCGUUCCUCUUCCUCUCCUGGAACACAUCUUCCUGUGUGCAAGACAACCACAGGAAUAUAAGUUAUUUUUUAAUUUCAGUUUUAUUUAAGUCUUGUAUUUAAUUUGUUUUCCAGUAUUUGAAAUGUUCUUACUGUGUUCUGUGUAGAGCAGGAGCGAUUGAACUUAGCUGGAAUUUAGGUUCAGGUUCUGACCUCCAAUAAAACUCAACGUACAUCGUUGUCGCGGGGACUGGUCCAGAGGCCGAGGGCCACCUG